rnacentral:rRNA from 1 species
CGUAGGGGCGAGCGUUGUCCGGAAUUAUUGGGCGUAAAGCGCGCGCAGGCGGCUGUUUAAGUCUGGUGUUUAAUCCUGGGGCUCAACCCCGGGUCGCACUGGAAACUGGGCAGCUUGAGUGCAGAAGAGGAGAGUGGAAUUCCACGUGUAGCGGUGAAAUGCGUAGAGAUGUGGAGGAACACCAGUGGCGAAGGCGACUCUCUGGGCUGUAACUGACGCUGAGGCGCGAAAGCGUGGGAGCAAACAGGAUU